AGUGUUCUACGUGCAUGUUUAGAACUGUGAGGAAGCUUUUAUGAGCUGGUUAUGCAGAGGAUGGCAGUGAUAUAAAUCAGCUGGAGGAGGAAGAAACGAGAGAAGAGAAUUUGUGGGAUCACACUUCCUAAACAUACAGAGCCAGCAUCAGCUUGGGGAGACUUGUGAGGGGAUCUGCAACCUGCUUGGAGCUUUCAGCUUGGUUACAAUCACACCUGAUUUUGACAUGGACUCUGCUGCAGCAUUGUGUGAGCAUUCCAAUUUGGGGGAAAUUACACAAAUAUAUUAAUUCAUGAUUCUGAUGUCUCCAACAGUAAAUAUUUCAUUUGGUUGAUUGGGCAGU